rnacentral:rRNA from 1 species
GACGAACGCUGGCGGCGUGCUUAACACAUGCAAGUCGAGCGGUAAGGCCCUUUCGAGGGUACACGAGCGGCGAACGGGUGAGUAACACGUGGGUGACCUGCCUUUAGCUCUGGGAUAAGCCUGGGAAACUGGGUCUAAUACCGGAUACGACUCCGCGGUGCAUGCUGUGGGGUGGAAAGCCUUGUGCGGCUGGAGAUGGGCCCGCGGCCUAUCAGCUUGUUGGUGGGGUGAUGGCCACCAAGGCGACGACGGGUAGCCGGCCUGAGAGGGCGACCGGCCACACUGGGACUGAGACACGGCCCAGACUCCUACGGGAGGCAGCAGUGGGGAAUCUUGCGCAAUGGGCGAAAGCCUGACGCAGCGACGCCGCGUGCGGG